rnacentral:rRNA from 1 species
UACGUAGGGUGCGAGCGUUAAUCGGAAUUACUGGGCGUAAAGCGUGCGCAGGCGGUUAUUUAAGUCAGGUGUGAAAGCCCUGGGCUUAACCUAGGAAUUGCGCUUGAGACUGGAUAGCUUGGAGUGCGGCAGAGGGAGGUGGAAUUCCUGGUGUAGCAGUGAAAUGCGUAGAUAUCAGGAGGAAUACCGAUGGCGAAGGCAGGUCUCUGGGCUGACACUGACGCUCAUGCACGAAAGCGUGGGGAGCAAACAGG